CAUUAAGCUGCCAUUCACUUCCUCGUUCGGAUCGACAAACGUGUUAAACGAGAUCUAUUAACCAUCUUUCAAUUUCUUGGAACAUUUUUGACGUCAUUACUUAAUCUUCCAGAUGAUAUGACUCUGAACUGAUCGAUAUAUUCCUGUGUGGUAUAUAUGUCGAUCACGGUGGCCGUGUAAUCAGAGAGCUCACAGCCAGACUGCAGCACGGGCUUGCCAGAUCUGAAAAAAAUGGAUAAACUUCCAGUGAUGCUUGCGUUUGCCACUUAUUCCUUGUUCAUCGCCAUGACAACUGUAUAUGGAGACAUUCUCUCUAAUGAUGACUUCGGUGCUAACCCAUUUGAAAACAAUUUUCUAAGAUGGAACCUUAUGUAUGACAAAUUACAAAAACGAGAUAUGGCCACUUUUCCAGGAAAGGGUUGGGCCUUCGGUCCCGAGAGAAACCGUUUUUUCAAUUGGAACUACAUGUCUCGAAGACUUCCAAACACAAAGAGGCGCACGAGCGCUGAACCAGGAGGGUUUCAAGAUUUUAACCCAUUCAGCGGCUAUUAUCAAUUGCAUCGUGAUUGGAAUGGCCAGUUCGGAAAGAAACGAAACCAAGAUUAAUGAGUAAUAAGGACAAGUUACGAGUCCUGCUAUUUUUAACCUUUUAAAUUUAAUUCUGAUUUUCAUGAGAGAAAUUAUUGUAUUUCCGUCAAUCUGUGUGGUAUUGUGAACGCCAUUAUUCAUUAAAUAUUUUUUUCGUGUA